GGAUGUGAGGGUGAUCUGGCUGCGACAUCUGUCACCCCAUUGAUCGCCAGGGUUGAUUCGGCUGAUCUGGCUGGCUAGGUGGGUGUCCCCUUCCUCCCUCACCGCUCCAUGUGCGUCCCUCCCGAAGCUGCGCGCUCGGUCGAAGAGGACGACCAUCCCCGAUAGAGGAAAGGACCGUUCUUCGGUCAAGGGUAUACGAGUAGCUGCGCUCCCCUGCUAGAACCUCCAAACAAGCUCUCUUCAAUGACAUGCUUGGUAAAACACAUCUAAAUCUUAAGUUGGUACAUAAUUGGAUCAAUUAUUU
rnacentral:snRNA from 1 species